rnacentral:lncRNA from 1 species
CCCAGUUUACAAUACAUCACAUUCUAAUAUGGCUUACAGAAUUAUUUUGUCUAUGUUAAUACACGACUAAAUAUAUGUAAAUCCUACAACUGCGGAGUCACCAACUCUUUGGUAUACAUAGCUUUUUAUACACAUAAUUACAUAGUGAAAUAAUUAUGGAACUAGGAAAAUUUCUCUAUUGCCCUGCGCCGAAGAAACAUAGCCUAAAUCGGAUUAAAGAAAAACUUACUUCCUGAAAAAUCAAACAAGACAUGUGAGUUUUCUAAGGAGUAAUAAUUAUUGCACAACACACGCAGUCACACAAAUGUGUAAACAUAUCAAUCUAGUCAUCCGACUAGUUAUAUGCUCACGCAGCCAGUCACACAAAUGGCAAAUCA